rnacentral:misc_RNA from 1 species
CAAGGAGAGAUUGAGAGGGGAAAUUGGAGAGAAAUCUCGGUGGGAAGUAAUCGCCGAUCUCCGGAGAAGGAUGGAAGAGACCAGAAGAUUUGGGCUUUUAUUUGCCAAAAUAGCCUCCACUUUUAUCUUAUUUCCGUUUUUAUCACGUCGCUUUCACCUGGAGGGCGGCGAUACUCUUAUGACAGUUUACUCCUGGCCGUUGGAUUCUCAUCAGAAAAGGCGUCGCG